rnacentral:rRNA from 1 species
AGAGUUUGAUCCUGGCUCAGGAUGAACGCUGGCGGCGUGCCUAAUACAUGCAAGUCGAGCGAACGGACGAGAAGCUUGCUUCUCUGAUGUUAGCGGCGGACGGGUGAGUAACACGUGGAUAACCUACCUAUAAGACUGGGAUAACUUCGGGAAACCGGAGCUAAUACCGGAUAAUAUUUUAAACCGCAUGGUUCAAAAGUGAAAGACGGUCUUGCUGUCACUUAUAGAUGGAUCCGCGCUGCAUUAGCUAGUUGGUAAGGUAACGGCUUACCAAGGCAACGAUGCAUAGCCGACCUGAGAGGGUGAUCGGCCACACUGGAACUGAGACACGGUCCAGACUCCUACGGGAGGCAGCAGUAGGGAAUCUUCCGCAAUGGGCGAAAGCCUGACGGAGCAACGCCGCGUGAGUGAUGAAGGUCUUCGGAUCGUAAAACUCUGUUAUUAGGGAAGAACAUAUGUGUAAGUAACUGUGCACAUCUUGACGGUACCUAAUCAGAAAGCCACGGCUAACUACGUGCCAGCAGCCGCGGUAAUACGUAGGUGGCAAGCGUUAUCCGGAAUUGUUGGGCGUAAAGCGCGCGUAGGCGGUUUUUUAAGUCUGAUGUGAAAGCCCACGGCUCAACCGUGGAGGGUCAUUGGAAACUGGAAAACUUGAGUGCAGAAGAGGAAAGUGGAAUUCCAUGUGUAGCGGUGAAAUGCGCAGAGAUAUGGAGGAACACCAGUGGCGAAGGCGACUUUCUGGUCUGUAACUGACGCUGAUGUGCGAAAGCGUGGGGAUCAAACAGGAUUAGAUACCCUGGUAGUCC